AACAUUCAACGCUGUCGGUGAGUUUGAGAAAGUGUAAAAAUAUAAACCAUCGGCCGUUGACUGUACC
rnacentral:pre_miRNA from 1 species